rnacentral:rRNA from 1 species
CCUACGGGAGGCAGCAGUGGGGAAUAUUGGACAAUGGGGGCAACCCUGAUCCAGCCAUGCCGCGUGUGUGAAGAAGGCCCUCGGGUUGUAAAGCACUUUCAGUGAGGAAGAACGCCUGGUGGUUAAUACCCAUCAGGAAAGACAUCACUCACAGAAGAAGCACCGGCUAACUCCGUGCCAGCAGCCGCGGUAAUACGGAGGGUGCGAGCGUUAAUCGGAAUUACUGGGCGUAAAGCGCGCGUAGGUGGCUUGAUAAGCCGGUUGUGAAAGCCCCGGGCUCAACCUGGGAACGGCAUCCGGAACUGUCAAGCUAGAGUGCAGGAGAGGAAGGUAGAAUUCCCGGUGUAGCGGUGAAAUGCGUAGAGAUCGGGAGGAAUACCAGUGGCGAAGGCGGCCUUCUGGACUGACACCGACACUGAGGUGCGAAAGCGUGGGUAGCAAACAGGAUUAGAUACCCGAGUAGUC